CAGAAGUGGAUACAGAAGCCAUGGAGGGGACAAGGCAAUCCAGACACCCAUAGGUGUUGUGUUCACCUCAGCCAAGAUCUCUGGACCCUAAAUCCUGGGCACUAUCUCUGAGUCAUUGGUAUCUAUUCUUGGGAAAGAAGCCAGACGCACUCUGUGAAGAAUCUCACUGGCUAAAGAAAAGUGUUCUGAGCCAGACUCUUGAGGUCCUGUCCCAGCAGCGGUUACAAUAAAACUGUGCUGAGCUGAGUUCCAGUCUUAUCUCUUUGUGGAUUGUUUUUUGGUUGUUUUUUUUUUUUUUCCCUGCCUGCAGAGAAGCCUGCAGGGAAUCACCACAGACCACAUGAUGAUUUUUAAAACAAUACGAUUAGAAUGAUCUGAAACCCAGCAUCUAUCAAACCAAGAGGCCCAGCUACCCAUUGUUUUGUGUUAAAGGAACCUGAAUUUAACACCAUGAAAAAAAGAACUGUUUUGUCAAGCACCAAGAACUCAGAUUAGGAGUUUUGAAGAGAUGACCCAGCAGUUAAGGGUGUGCUAGUCUUCCAGAGGAUCAGCUGUGGCACUAGGAUCAGCUGUGGCACCAGGAUCAGCUGUGGCACCAGGAUCAGCUGUGGCACCAGGAUCAGCUGUGGCACCAGGAUCAGCUGUGGCACCAGGAUCAGCUGUGGCACCAGGAUCAGCUGUGGCACUAGGAUCAGCUGUGGGUCAGAUCAGACAGCUUCCUGUUUUCACUCAGGUCUUAUUCCUGUGCUAGGGUACCAGCUCGGUCUGCUGAAUAGUGUGUGUACUGGACUUCCUCCUAGUGUGAUAGAAUGAGGAGUCAUACUUCUUACUUGGCCGCUCAGUCUCAGAGACAUGUAUUCUAGUCAUCAGACAGAACUGGUAUUGAUCUCCCAGGACCCACUGUCACAUAACAUGGUCACUCUUCUGUAGGACAAAGAGACACAAGUGUUCCUUGCAAGAGAGGGAGUGCAAGCCCCAUUUCUCAUUAGACGCAUGACUACUUGUGAAUAUUGUCCCUUUCUGGGAGGCCUCUCUGGAAUGUCACACUACUUUCCCAACAUUGGCAUCCUCCUUCACGGCUUGCUAGAAUUAUGUUUUAGGAAUCCAUCUAGAGCAAUGGUCCUCAACCUUCCUAAUGCUGUGACCCUUUAAUACAGUUCCACAUGCUGUGGUGACACACACACCCAAGCCUAAAAUUAUUCUCAUUGCUUCUCUCUCUCUCUUUUUUUUAAGAUUUAUUUAUUUAUUUAUUUAUUUCAUGUAUGUGAGUAGACUGUCACUGUCUUCAGACACACCAGAAGAGGGCAUCGGAUCCCCAUUACAGAUGGUUGUGAGCCACCAUGUGGUUGCUGGGAAUUAAACUCAGGACCUCUGGAAGAGCAGUCAGUGCUCUUAACCAUUGAGCCUUCUCUCCAACCUCUCACUGAUUCCUUAUAACCAUAAUUUUGCUGUUAUGACUACUAACGUAAACAUCUGAUAUGCAGGACAUCUGCUAUGUGACCCCUGUGAAAGGGUCCUUCGCACCCCCUCCGAGGGACGAGGAUUCGCAGGUUGAGAAGCGCUGCUCUAGACUCGGCUGAGCAUCAUUUUGACUUAGUAGUGGCGAUGAGUCUUUAUUUUCUUCUGAAGGCAGAGUUAACUUGGGGAACUCCAAUGAUGGAGAAAGAUGGACCAGUGUGUAUUCAAACAUUUGGUGAGCUGCUAACAUGUAUAGGGAACUAGGGAGGGGGGAGAGAGAGCGAGCACAUAUAAGUUAACAGAAGUCACACCAAGGAAACAAGGCCUUCUAAACACAGCACAACUGACACACGUAUGAACACACAGAGACUGAGGCAGCAUACACAUGGCCUGCACCAAAUGGGGUCCUAGAGUUGAGAGGAGAAGUGGACACAUGGGCCCACCCCUAACCCAGACGCUAUCUCCAGCUGAUGACCCCUCAAAAAAGAAAACUUAGUUUUCUCCAUGAAGUCUCACUGAAAAAAACAAACCACUCUUAAAGGCAGGCCCCAUGACCAGCAUUAGAUGGACAACACAAAGCAAAUUCAGUGACAUCUUUGGAGGUCUCAUAAUGUUCUG
rnacentral:lncRNA from 1 species